rnacentral:rRNA from 1 species
CGACCGGCGCACGGGUGAGUAACACGUAUCCAACCUGCCGAUGACUCGGGGAUAGCCUUUCGAAAGAAAGAUUAAUACCCGAUGGCAUAGUUCUUCCGCAUGGUAGAACUAUUAAAGAAUUUCGGUCAUCGAUGGGGAUGCGUUCCAUUAGCUGGUUGGUGAGGUAACGGCCCACCAAGGCAACGAUCAGUAGCCGGCCUGAGAGGGUGAACGGCCACAUUGGGACUGAGACACGGCCCAGACUCCUACGGGAGGCAGCAUG